UUCGAAGCAACGCGAAGAACCUUACCAGGCCUUGACAUGCAGAGAACUUUCCAGAGAUGGAUUGGUGCCUUCGGGAACUCUGACACAGGUGCUGCAUGGCUGUCGUCAGCUCGUGUCGUGAGAUGUUGGGUUAAGUCCCGUAACGAGCGCAACCCUUGUCCUUAGUUACCAUCAUUCAGUUGGGGACUCUAAGGAGACCGCCGGUGUAAACCGGAGGAAGGUGGGGAUGACGUCAAAUCAUCAUGCCCUUUAUGUCCUGGGCGACACACGUGCUACAAUGGUCGGAACAAAGAGCUGCAAACUCGCGAGAGUAAGCGAAUCUCAGAAAACCGAUCUCAGUUCGGAUCGAAGUCUGCAACUCGACUUCGUGAAGCCGGAAUUGCUAGUAAUCGCAGAUC
rnacentral:rRNA from 1 species